GACGAACGCUGGCGGCGUGCUUAACACAUGCAAGUCGAACGGAAAGGCCCUGCUUUUGUUGGGUGCUCGAGUGGCGAACGGGUGAGUAACACGUGAGUAACCUGCCCUUGACCUUGGGAUAACUUCAGGAAACUGGGGCUAAUACCUGAUAGGAGCUCCUGCUGCAUGGUGGGGGUUGGAAAGUUUCGGCGGUUGGGGAUGGACUCGCGGCUUAUCAGCUUGUUGGUGGGGUAGUGGCUUACCAAGGCUUUGACGGGUAGCCGGCCUGAGAGGGUGACCGGCCACAUUGGGACUGAGAUACGGCCCAGACUCCUACGGGAGGCAGCAGUGGGGAAUAUUGCACAAUGGGCGGAAGCCGGAUGCAGCAACGCCGCGUGCGGGAUGACGGCCUGCGGGUUGUAAACCGCAUUCGCCUGUGACGAAGCGUGAGUGACGGUAAUGGGUAAAGAAGCACCGGCUAACUACGUG
rnacentral:rRNA from 1 species